rnacentral:tRNA from 1 species
GGGCGGAUGGUUUAGUUGGUAUAAUGUUCGCUUCGCAUGCGAAAGGUCCGGGGUUCGAUUCCCCGUUCGUCCA